UACGUAGGCAGCGAGCGUUGUUCGGAGUUACUGGGCGUAAAGGGUGCGUAGGCGGUUGUUUAAGUUUGGUGUGAAAUCUCCCGGCUCAACUGGGAGGGUGCGCCGAAUACUGAAUGACUAGAGUGCGGGAGAGGAGAGUGGAAUUCCCGGUGUAGUGGUGAAAUGCGUAGAUAUCGGGAGGAACACCAGUGGCGAAGGCGACUACCUGGCCUGUUCUUGACGCUGAGGCGCGAAAGCUAGGGGAGCAAACGGG
rnacentral:rRNA from 1 species